rnacentral:rRNA from 1 species
GACGAACGCUGGCGGCGUGCCUAAUACAUGCAAGUUGAGCGCUGAAGGUUGGUACUUGUACCAACUGGAUGAGCAGCGAACGGGUGAGUAACGCGUGGGGAAUCUGCCUUUGAGCGGGGGACAACAUUUGGAAACGAAUGCUAAUACCGCAUAAAAACUUUAAACACAAGUUUUAAGUUUGAAAGAUGCAAUUGCAUCACUCAAAGAUGAUCCCGCGUUGUAUUAGCUAGUUGGUGAGGUAAAGGCUCACCAAGGCGAUGAUACAUAGCCGACCUGAGAGGGUGAUCGGCCACAUUGGGACUGAGACACGGCCCAAACCUCUACGGGAGGCAGCAGUAGGGAAUCUUCGGCCAUAGACGAAAGUUUGACCGAGCAAAGCCGCGUGAGUGAAGAAGGUUUUCGGAUCGUAAAAAUCUGUUUGUAGGGAAGAACGGUGGUGAGAGUGGAAAGCCCAUCCAGUGACCGUAACUACCCAGAAAGGGACGGCUAACUACGUG